CGGCCGUACCUCCGCCGCUCCGCCGGCCUACCGCCGGCGGCCGGUUGUCCUCCGCCACCUCGACUUACGUGCAAUAUUCAAAAGCCCGUAUCUUCUCCAUUCGAGCUUUGUUUUAGGUGAUUUUGGUCUCGUUGGACUCCAUUUUUCGUCACGAACCUCGCUGUGAGCUCAAUAUGGGAUGAAUUACGAGGCGUCAAAUUCUAACAAACAACUUUCUUCCAUCGUCAAUGCUUUACCAUUACCAUAUACUUUUC
rnacentral:lncRNA from 1 species